rnacentral:lncRNA from 1 species
AUGGCCGGGCACAUGGUGCCAGCCCCAGCCCCCUCUGCCAGCUGCGGCCGCUUAACGCAGAGCCGCGAGGGGAGGCACCGACUCCCCAGCGAGGCUCUGGGAGGUGCGGGACCCCCCUACGGUCCGGCCCGAUGGGGCAGCCGCACCGGGCUCGCCUUUGGUCCCAAGGCGGUCGCCGGUUGCUCUCAGAGCGGCAGCGGAGGCACAGACAGACCGCCAGACCGCCCGCCCCCCACUCCCUCUCUCCAUCCCUCACUCACCCAGCUGGAGCUGCUCGCACUGCCUGCGGGGGUUGCUCCCGAUCCGGCACCGGAAAAUGGCCCCGGGGCUGUCCACCGAGCUGUUGGCCGGCCAGCUGGCCCGCGGGGCGCCCGCCACCAGCCUGCGGGGCACAGACGGCGGCGUGAGGGGCCGCAGGGGGGGCUGCAGGCUCCGGCUCCCCCCCGGCAGCCCCGUCCGAGACUCACCAUCGCUCCUCGCCGUGGCUGUGCAGCAGCACCGAGUACCCGAAGAAGGUGCCGGUGCCCCCACGGAACAGCAGCGGGUGCCGGGUGUCCAGGUUGUAGGGCCGCGCCGUCGGCAGGCGCUGCCCCAGCAGCAGCAGCAGCGGCAGCAGCAGCGGGGCGGCGCGGCCCGCAGCCCUCCCGCAACUCNNNNNNNNNNCGCUCCGCUCGGCGAGGGGCAGCGCCGCCCCCGCCCUGCCCUGCCCUGCCCUGCCCUGCCCCGACACCGGGCAGCCCGCGCCCUGCUCCCAGCCGGGCCGAGCCGAGCCGGGCCGGGCGGCUCCCUCCCUCAGUUCCCGCAGCCGUGCGGGGUGUCCCCUGCGGAGCGGGGGGGGACCGCUCGGCCGUGCCGCCGCCUCCUCCCGCGCCGCGGCAGCCCCUCUCCCUCCUCAGGCGGCGGAGGUCGGGUUUCUCCCCGCCCCGCCCGCGCACAGGGGGUGCUGCAGGACGGGGCACGGCCUCCGAGCCUCCCCCUCGGGCCUCCCCGCGGCCCCCGGGAGCCCCUUGCCCGGUGUUCGGGUUGGGGGGAGGUUGGGAGAUGGAGGGAGGCUGUUCCCAAAAUGUCCUCGCCGGCUUCCUCGCCCUGGCGCGUUGGAUUUCCCGCUCCCCUGAGCGCGUCUGCCCCGAGUCCCGGCGUGGAAAUCCAGCCAAGCCCGGGUCCGUCCUCAGGGAGGGAAACUGCGGUCAGAUUUGUGCCUUCCUUUUGGAAGUUAAAAAAGUCCUCGUGUCUGUGCUGCUAGCCUUCCUGCCCCUCGGCCGUUGCACUGGGGGGAACUCCCGGGCCCCCCUCUCGGUGGGGAGGUACCAGAGGUACCAGAGCCCCAAAACCAGCGUCCUAACGGCCAAGGACAGUCCUGAGCCCCAUCCCGCCCGUGUUGCACAGGACCACUCCCUGCCGAUGACUUCCUUCCCUGUGGGACGGAAUCAGAACAACCCCUGGCACUUUGUUCACAUUUGA